GUCUCGGCCCGUCGAAGACCCAGGCGGGCAAAGGAGUGGUACAAGGUGUGGGGAGGGGUGGAGGAAGAAGCCACCAUCCUGGCUUGGAGGGAGCAGAGCAGGAAGGGGUGCCCAUCUUGGGGCCACUCUCAGGGCUCAUGCCAGGUUUGGCCACCAUGUGAUAAGAUGACCUGCAGGUCUGGCCUUGGAUUUCUGCAGAGGUUUGCUGGAAAGGCAUCACUUAGGAGGCUGGCAGGCCAUGAGAAAGUCUCACCUGGAAGCGGUGGAAGUCCUGUGGCUUGAAGUCGUUGGGGGAGCAGCCGCACCAGUCCACGAUGUGCUUGUACUGGCACUUGCAGCCCAGCUUGCGAUUCCAGUUGGUGAUGCGCAGGUUGUUGUCCACCAUGGUGUCGCAGUGGGGGCUGUUCUCCAGGACUGUAUGGAAGAAGGACUGCAGGGGAGAGAGGGGCCUAGCCUGAGACCUCUCCCAGCCUCCCACAAAGGGACUGGGGUGGGAAAGGGUGAACUCUUGCUCUGAGUUCAUGUAAGAACUGGUUGUUUUAAAGAAGCUGGGCUGCUUCCUGUACAGCUUGCAGAACCACAAGCCAAAUAAACUUUUCUUUAUAAA